CUGGAGUCCAUUUUCUCAUACAGCAAUAAUGUCAUAGAUGCAGUCCUCAAGUUCACUGUUGUUUGGUUUCAUUCCUGAUUGUGAACUCACUAGCUAUACCUUCUAAGGCCUCUUUUGUUUGAAGCUGGUAAAGAACAUGGAUGCAGAUAAGCAUAAUAGAGCUGUCUCCAGGAAGGGACUAUCCAACUGGGAACUGCACCUUCUUCUUAUUUUGGAACACAGAGAGAGACCAACUGAUUGAUUUUCAUAAUAAAAAGAGUCUAGCUGGCAGCCCAAAGAGGUCACUGUGGCCUGACAGUCUGAGAACAGCAGCGCUUCCUGGGGGAAACAGUCCUCUUUUUCCUGCCUUAAAAAAAAAAAAAAAAAAAAGAUAUGCCAGAGCUCAGAUGUUAGGGCAAAGUUGAGGAAAGCAGCUCUCUGUUGCGUGGAAAAUAACAGCAUAACAGCAAACCUGUCUGCGGUAAAUUAUGUGUGAGGACAAAGCCUGCUACCUCCCCCAGUGUACCCCACCCGGCCUCCAUCCAUCCUUAUGCUGGGACCCUUCAGAAAUAGCAAGCUGUGCAUCAGAGACCUGCAGUUCGAUCUUGACCCAGAAGAGCUGUGUCCCCUUAAGCAAGUCUCCUGGCUUUUUGUUUGAAUUUCUUGAUAUUAUCUGUAACAUUACAUUAAAUCCUUUCCUUCAUACUGGUAUGAGA